ACUAAUCGUCAAGGACCGCGCUCAACGUAAAAAGAGGUCGUUUGGUUGGUGGUGCAUGGAGUGUCACAAAUAGUGAACCUCCAAGUUGGCAAAGCGCGCCAACCCGAGAAUUCUGUAGAGCGCAAUGGCGGAGGCCAUCCGGUUUUUUUCUACCAAAGACAAAGACACAAAACCAAAGACACCAAAACCGUUGCUGCGCCAGGCCUGGCCGGAGGAAGAUCCUCCGACUUGACUCGACCACCGCGGGAUACACUAGAACACACGAACACACACACACAUGGUUAGGUUAGUUUUAAAACGACGAAAAACAAUGAAUUAGGACAGUUAAAUGCAAUAAACAUGACUUUUUCCAUAACCCAAAGCGACGAUCUUUUGUGAUUCUUUUUGCCAGGACAGUGCGAUUAGCUGAAUCGAACCAGGAUUGUGAAAGGGUAGGUACAAUUCUCCUUCCCCACGUCAAAUGUGAGCAGUUGCAGAUCUUUACAUCUCUCUCUCAUCUCCAAGAGUCUCAAGUUCUGGUUUUUAUUUAAUUUUUAAUUAAUGAACUAGUGGUGGUAAUUG